AUUGAACGCUGGCGGCAGGCCUAACACAUGCAAGUCGAGCGGAUGAGUGGAGCUUGCUCCAUGAUUCAGCGGCGGACGGGUGAGUAAUGCCUAGGAAUCUGCCUGGUAGUGGGGGACAACGUUUCGAAAGGAACGCUAAUACCGCAUACGUCCUACGGGAGAAAGCAGGGGACCUUCGGGCCUUGCGCUAUCAGAUGAGCCUAGGUCGGAUUAGCUAGUAGGUGAGGUAAUGGCUCACCUAGGCGACGAUCCGUAACUGGUCUGAGAGGAUGAUCAGUCACACUGGAACUGAGACACGGUCCAGACUCCUACGGGAGGCAGCAGUGGGGAAUAUUGGACAAUGGGCGAAAGCCUAAUCCAGCCAUGCCGCGUGUGUGAAGAAGGUCUUCGGAUUGUAAAGCACUUUAAGUUGGGAGGAAGGGCAGUAAGUUAAUACCUUGCUGUUUUGACGUUACCAACAGAAUAAGCACCGGCUGACUUCGUGCCAGCAGCCGCGGUAACAC
rnacentral:rRNA from 1 species